rnacentral:rRNA from 1 species
AACGCGAAGAACCUUACCAACUCUUGACAUCCUCAUUGGGGAGAACAGAGAUGAUCUCUUUCAGUUCGGCUGGAUGAGUGACAGAUGCUGCAUGGCUGUCGUCAGCUCGUGUCGUGAGAUGUUGGGUUAAGUCCCGCAACGAGCGCAACCCUUGCCAUCAGUUGCCAGCAAGUAAUGUUGGGCACUCUGAUGGGACUGCCGGUGACAAGCCGGAGGAAGGUAGGGAUGACGUCAAGUCAUCAUGGCUCUUACGAGUUGGGCUACACACGUGCUACAAUGGCGCCUACAGAGGGCAGCGAGAUAGUGAUAUCGAGCGAAUCUUAAAAAGGCGUCUCAGUUCAGAUUGUACUCUGCAACUCGAGUACAUGAAGUUGGAAUCGCUAGUAAUCGCGGAUCAGCGUGCCGCGGUGAAUACGUUCCCGGGUCUUGUACACACCG